rnacentral:rRNA from 1 species
AUUGAACGCUGGCGGCAUGCUUUACACAUGCAAGUCGAACGGUAACAGGCCGCAAGGUGCUGACGAGUGGCGAACGGGUGAGUAAUGCAUCGGAACGUGCCCAGUCGUGGGGGAUAACGCAGCGAAAGCUGCGCUAAUACCGCAUACGAUCUAUGGAUGAAAGCGGGGGACCGUAAGGCCUCGCGCGAUUGGAGCGGCCGAUGUCAGAUUAGGUAGUUGGUGGGGUAAAGGCUCACCAAGCCAACGAUCUGUAGCUGGUCUGAGAGGACGACCAGCCACACUGGGACUGAGACACGGCCCAGACUCCUACGGGAGGCAGCAGUGGGGAAUUUUGGACAAUGGGCGCAAGCCUGAUCCAGCAAUGCCGCGUGCAGGAAGAAGGCCUUCGGGUUGUAAACUGCUUUUGUACGGAACGAAACGGUCUUGGUUAAUACCUGGGGCUAAUGACGGUACCGUAAGAAUAAGCACCGGCCAACUACGUGCCAGCCGCCGCGGUAAAAC